CAGCCGCCGCGGUAAAACGGAGGGUGCAAGCGUUAAUCGGAAUUACUGGGCGUAAAGCGUGCGUAGGCGGUUCGUUAAGUCUGUUGUGAAAGCCCCGGGCUCAACCUGGGAAUGGCAAUGGAUACUGGCGAGCUAGAGUGUGUCAGAGGAUGGUGGAAUUCCCGGUGUAGCGGUGAAAUGCGUAGAGAUCGGGAGGAACAUCAGUGGCGAAGGCGGCCAUCUGGGACAACACUGACGCUGAGGCACGAAAGCGUGGGGAGCAAACAGGAUUAGAUACCCCCGUAGUCCCUGUCUCUUAUAC
rnacentral:rRNA from 1 species